rnacentral:rRNA from 1 species
AGUGAACGCUGGCGGUAGGCCUAACACAUGCAAGUCGAACGGCAGCACAGUAAGAGCUUGCUCUUACGGGUGGCGAGUGGCGGACGGGUGAGGAAUACAUCGGAAUCUACUUUUUCGUGGGGGAUAACGUAGGGAAACUUACGCUAAUACCGCAUACGACCUACGGGUGAAAGCAGGGGAUCUUCGGACCUUGCGCGAUUGAAUGAGCCGAUGUCGGAUUAGCUAGUUGGCGGGGUAAAGGCCCACCAAGGCGACGAUCCGUAGCUGGUCUGAGAGGAUGAUCAGCCCCAAUGGAACUGAGACACGGUCCAGACUCCUACGGGAGGCAGCAGGGGGGAAUACUGGACAAUGGGCGCAAGCCUGAUCCAGCCAUACCGCGUGGGUGAAGAAGGCCUUCGGGUUGUAAAGCCCUUUUGUUGGGAAAGAAAAGCAGCAGGUUAAUACCCCGCUGCUCUGACGGUACCCAAAGAAUAAGCACCGGCUAACUUCGUG